CGAUUAUUGGGCUUAAAGCGUUCGUAGCCGGCUCAGCAAGUCUUCCGUUAAAUCCAACGAUCUAAUCGUUGGGCUGCGGGAGAUACUGUUGGGCUAGGGGGCGGGAGAAGCCGACGGUAUCCUCGGGGUAGGGGUGAAAUCCUAUAAUCCCGGGAGGACCACCAGUGGCGAAGGCGGUCGGCUAGAACGCGCCCGACGGUGAGGGACGAAAGCUGGGGGAGCGAACCGGAUUAGAUACCCGGGUAGUCCCAGCCGUAAACGAUGCGGGCUAGGUGUUGGGGCGGUACGAACCGC
rnacentral:rRNA from 1 species